AUUGAACGCUGGCGGCAGGCCUAACACAUGCAAGUCGAGCGAGCGGCGGACGGGUGAGUAAUGCCUAGGAAUCUGCCUGGUAGUGGGGGAUAACGUCCGGAAACGGGCUCUAAUACCCCAUACCAUCAGAUGUGCCCAGAUGGGAUUAGCUAGUAGGUGGAGUAACGGCUCACCUAGGCGACGAUCCCUAGCUGGUCUGAGAGGAUGACCAGCCAGACUGGAACUGAGACACGGUCCAGACUCCUACGGGAGGCAGCAGUGGGGAAUAUUGCACAAUGGGCGAAAGCCUGAUGCAGCCAUGCCGCGUGUGUGAAGAAGGCCUUCGGGUUGUAAAGCACUUUCAGCGGGGGGGCGUUACCCGCAGAAGAAGCACCGGCUAACUCCGUGCCAGCAGCCGCGGUAAUUC
rnacentral:rRNA from 1 species